ensembl:lncRNA
GCCGUCCUCGGUUUGUCCGUCUGGUUGGGCCUCCUAGACACCACAACUGUGCCACGCACUUCUUCCUCCACAUCCUUCUCUUGCUCUCUUUUCCUCUCUCUCUCUCACCGUGUCUCUCUUCCUCUGUCCAGUCUCUCAAUAGUGGUCCUCUCUGCUCUCGUGGGGGAGGCUGUAAUAUCUGGUUUCCUAAACAAUGGAAAUUCAAUCAGGAAAUGGACCCGAGGUGUCGAAAGAAGGAGGGUGCGCUCAUUCGUCUCCUCUCGCCCUGCGGCCUGCGAACGCUAAAGAGGACCUGGAGGAGAACAGGCGCAUUGAGAAGUUUGACAUCCCACUCAGCAGCCUGAAGCAAAUGUUUGAGAAACCGCCGGCGCAACAUGUGGAAGUGAGUGGUUCAUAUUCGUCUAGUGGGAGAGUAGCAGACAAAUAUAGUGGUGUAGGAGAAAAAAUGUCGAAUCAGGAAUCAAACUUUGGUGGAUCUGCGGGCAGCGCAGGUGUUUCACCAUCAAGAAAGGGACAGGCCGACGUUGAGGCUGAUACUGUGCCUCUCAAGCAGAGACUGGCCUUAUACCAAGCUGCCACUACCAAGGAGGAGAGAAGCCCAUCUGUGGUCAUGGAUAGCUCUGAGCCGUGCUCUCUGCCAGGCGGACUGGCCAGCAUCAAGAAACAGUUUGAAAGCCAAGAGUUCAGUUCCUCUUCUGCGUCCCAAAGCACUGUUACACAAUACCACUACCAACAGAGACAGCAGGUGGUGAGCUCAUCAGAGGUGACGGUACGAAGCAGUGUUAAAGAAAGCAGUACCUCAAAUGCUCAGGUUUCCCUGGACCAGAAUGUUCAUCAGAGUGUGGCCUCAAGUUUUGGGGAUCAUUAUGAUGAGAAAGGUAGUGUUCAAAUGUAGUUUACUACAGUUUAAUAACAAAUUGUAAGUUACCUAAUAACUGUUUUGUAAUUUUCUCUUUCUCAUUUCAUUUUUUAACCUUUUAAAGUGAUGGUAAUUGGAGGAGAGAAUUUGCCAAAAAUUUCUGCUCAAGCCCUGAAACAGCAGCAUGAAAAAAGUAUUGAGGAGGCCACUCCACCCAAACAUAUCAAGGUAAAAAAUGACGUAUACCGAUGAAGACAGUAAACUGUUUUACCUGCAGUGGUUAAAAAUAUAUGGGUGUUUCUUUAAAUUAAGGCACUUUUUUGUUCUUGGGGACCGGAAACAGAUUUUCCCAUUUUUUUCAUGUGUCACACAACUGUCUUUUACAUAGAGUAUAGAUAUUACUGGUUUAUCUUUGUCAGAAAUCCAGAAGUUAUGAAAAUUAAUAUGAGAAAUAGCUAAAUUAAGCUAAAAUCACGUAAAAAUAAAAAUAGAAAAUGCGCAAGUCA